rnacentral:misc_RNA from 1 species
AUUGCCAUUAGCUAGCACAGGACUGGACAUAUGGUUGCAUAAAUAAAUCAAAUUACAGACAAAGUUAGCUAAAUACACUGCUAAUAUUGCACAAAACAAUUACAGCCUCUGUACAAACAAAUUUAAAUUCCACAAUCUUACUACAGCGUCUAUUUUCUUCUUUUAUCGGAUGAAGUUUUGAGACUAUGGUCUCUGAUAAACAUACUUGGUUCUAGGAUCCACAAUUAGGCCCUUCCCUCCAUUUACUUCCAAAUCAUGCUGGAAAACAAAAUCUGGAAUAGUCAGCUGCUCACGAGGAACAUAGCGGAAUAAUUGCAGAAGACGAUCUACAUAUACUAUUUUCUUCCAUACCACAUUAUCCACACAGAGUUGUAAACCAAAAACUGCACUCUUCAGUCCAAAAGUAGGGUGAAGAACAUAUAUCGCAUGAAGGUUGUGCCGGUGCUUGCGACCAAGAAUUUGUUGUAUCCUCUUCAUUAAUCCUAGAUCUGGUUGCAUCUGUAGAGUUGCAGCAGAAUGGAAGUACACAAUAGAGUAAGGUUUCUGUAUCAAUGGUUCAAAUUCCUUUACAACAUGGAUAAUAAAUCUCUCCAGAUCAAGACAUCUUAGCAGGAAA